rnacentral:rRNA from 1 species
UACGGAGGGUGCGAGCGUUGUCCGGAAUCACUGGGCGUAAAGGGCGCGUAGGCGGCGCGGGCAGUCAACGGUGAAAGCUUGGGGCUCAACCCCGAGUCGGCCGUCGAUACUCCCGGGCUUGAGCACUGUAGAGGCAGGUGGAAUUCCGGGUGUAGCGGUGGAAUGCGUAGAGAUCCGGAAGAACACCGGUGGCGAAGGCGGCCUGCUGGGCAGUAGCUGACACUGAGGCGCGACAGCGUGGGGAGCAAACAGG